UACGGAGGUGGCAAGCGUUGCUCGGAAUCACUGGGCGUAAAGGGCGCGUAGGCGGGGAGGUAAGUCGGGUGUGAAAUCCCUCGGCCCAACUGAGGAACUGCGCCCGAGACUGCUUCUCUUGAGUCCCGGAGAGGUAAGUGGAAUUCCUAGUGUAGCGGUGAAAUGCGUAGAUAUUAGGAGGAACACCAGUGGCGAAGGCGACUUACUGGACUGUAACUGACACUGAGGCUCGAAAGCGUGGGGAGCAAACAGG
rnacentral:rRNA from 1 species